rnacentral:rRNA from 1 species
CUAGUUGCUUAGUGUUGGGAAUCUGCCCUGUAUUUAUAGGGCAGUUCCUUAAAGUGAUCGGCGGAGUUAGGGCAUACUCUAAGCGUAGUAAUAUUCUUCUCGCUUCUGUAGUUGUCCUGGCGGCUUGCCGUUAAACCCCUAUAUUUCUAGUGGUUGACCUCGGAUUAGGUAGGAAUACCCGCUGAACUUAAGCAUAUCAAUAAGCGGAGGAAAAGAAACCAACAGGGAUUGCCCUAGUAACGGCGAGUGAAGCGGCAACAGCUCAAAUUUGAAAUCUGGCCCUAGCGGUCCGAGUUGUAAUUUGUAGAGGAUGCUUUUGGUUAGGUGCCUUCUGAGUUCCCUGGAACGGGACGCCAGAGAGGGUGAGAGCCCCGUACGGUUGGACACCGAGCCUCUAUAUAGCUCCUUCGACGAGUCGAGUAGUUUGGGAAUGCUGCUCUAAAUGGGAGGUAAAUUUCUUCUAAAGCUAAAUACCGGCCAGAGACCGAUAGCGCACAAGUAGAGUGAUCGAAAGAUGAAAAGUACUUUGAAAAGAGGGUUAAAUAGCACGUGAAAUUGUUGAAAGGGAAGCGUUUGCGACCAGACUUUUUCCAGGCGGAUCAUCCGGUGUUCUCACCGGUGCACUUCGCCUGGUUUAGGCCAGCAUCGGUUCUCUUAGGGGGAUAAAGGCCUGGGGAACGUAGCUCCUUCGGGAGUGUUAUAGCCCCUAGCGUAAUACCCUUCGGGGGACCGAGGAACGCG